rnacentral:rRNA from 1 species
CAACCUGCCUGUUACCACGGCACAGCCCGUCGAAAGGCGGAUUAAUGCCGUAUGUGGUCUUGAAAGGGCAUCUGAUCAUGACUAAAGGUUCGGCGGUAACGGAUGGGGAUGCGUCCGAUUAGCUAGACGGCGGGGUAACGGCCCACCGUGGCUACGAUCGGUAGGGGUUCUGAGAGGAAGGUCCCCCACACUGGAACUGAGACACGGUCCAGACUCCUACGGGAGGCAGCAGUGAGGAAUAUUGGUCAAUGGGCGUAAGCCUGAACCAGCCAAGUAGCGUGAGGGAAGACUGCCCUAUGGGUUGUAAACCUCUUUUGUGCGGGGAUAAAGUGAGGGACGUGUCCCUUAUUGCAGGUACCGCACGAAUAAGGACCGGCUAAUUCCGUGCCAGCAGCCGCGGUAAUACGGAAGGUCCGGGCGUUAUCCGGAUUUAUUGGGUUUAAAGGGAGCGCAGGCCGUCCUUUAAGCGUGCUGUGAAAUGCCGCGGCUCAACCGUGGCACUGCAGCGCGAACUGGAGGACUUGAGUACGCACGAGGUAGGCGGAAUUCGUGGUGUAGCGGUGAAAUGCUUAGAUAUCACGAAGAACUCCGAUUG